rnacentral:rRNA from 1 species
GACGAACGCUGGCGGCGUGCUUAACACAUGCAAGUCGUACGGUAAGGCCCUUUCGGGGGUACACGAGUGGCAAACGGGUGCGUAACACGUGCGUAACCUUCCCACAACUUUGGGAUAACGCUAGGAAACUGGUACCAAUACUGGAAAUGUGCUCCUGCUUCAUGCGGGGGGUUGGAAAGCGCCGGCCGUUGUGGAUGGACUCGCUGGCUAUCAGCUUGUUGGUGGGGUAGUGUAGUACCAAGGCGGCGUCGGGUAGCCGGCCUGAGAGGGUGACCGGCCACAUUGGGACUGAGAUAAGGCCCAGACUCCUACGGGAGGCAGCAGUGGGGAAUAUUGCACAAUGGGCGCAAGCCUGAUGCAGCAACGCCGCGUGCGGGAUGACGGCCUUAGGGUUGUAAACCGCUUUCAGAAGGGACGAAGCUUUUUGUGACGGUACCUGCAGAAGAAGCACCGGCUAACUACGUG